CAAUAAUAAAAAUAAAGUGUAGGUACCAGAGUGUGGACUUGAAGUAAGUGUGGAAGAAGGUGUGCCAAGGAAAGCAGAUUCCUCCUUUGCCUGAGAGCUUUGGAAAAUAAAUGGAAGCUGCUGUGACAAAACCUGAGGCUGCUUCUGCUGGGAUUGGAAUGAUGAGUGAGUCUGGGAUUCAGACACAAGAGGACCAUUUCGAUGACUUUUUCCCGAAGCCCUUGAAUGGAAUGAAGAAGAAUCAUGAUUCUGGGCUGGAGGAGCAAACAGUGGUGGAAUUCCCAGCAAUGGUGGAAAGAAGGUUGCCCCUGCACGCGUGUGAACAUCCGUUGUUCGCCACCAUUCUGCACCUCAAAGCCAAACACCAAACAAGCAAAAAUAUUUGAAUUAACUUUCUAGCUAAUUUCACAGUGCUUUUUAUAUUUUAUUCCUGAAAAAAAUUUCCAGUUUCAUCUUGGAACAGAA